CGCGGCCUAUCAGCUUGUUGGUGGGGUAACGGCCUACCAAGGCGACGACGGGUAGCUGGUCUGAGAGGACGACCAGCCACACUGGGACUGAGACACGGCCCAGACUCCUACGGGAGGCAGCAGUGGGGAAUCUUGCGCAAUGGGCGAAAGCCUGACGCAGCGACACCGCGUGGGGGAUGAAGGCCUUUCAGGUCGUAAACCCCUUUCGGCAGGGACGAAGCGAUCUCGUGACGGUACCUGCAGAAGAAGCCUCGGCUAACUACGUGCCAGCAGCCGCGGUAACACGUAGGAGGCGAGCGUUGUCCGGGAUCAUUGGGCGUAAAGAGCGCGCAGGCGGCUUGGCAAGUCGGGUGUGAAAUCCCGGGGCUCAACCCCGGGACUGCAUCCGAUACUGUCAGGCUAGAGGUAGGUAGGGGAGAUCGGAAUUCCUGGUGUAGCGGUGAAAUGCGCAGAUAUCAGGAGGAACACCGGUGGCGAAGGCGGAUCUCUGGGCCUUACCUGACGCUCAGGCGCGAAAGCUAGGGGAGCGAACAGGAUUAGAUACCCUGGUAGUCCUAGCCGUAAACGUUGGGUGCUAGGUGUGGGCGGAUAUCAACCCCGUCCGUGCCGAAGCUAACGCAUUAAGCACCCCGCCUGGGGAGUACGG
rnacentral:rRNA from 1 species